rnacentral:misc_RNA from 1 species
AACAUCGCGCACCUGCGGGAACCUGCGGAAGGAUCAUUACUGAGUGCGGGUUCCAAUGAGCCCAACCUCCCACCCGUGUUUACCGUAACCGCGUUGCCUCGGCGGGCCCACUGGGGCCUGUCCCCGGUCGCCGGGGGGCAUCUGCCCCCGGGCCCGCGCCCGCCGAAGCGCCCUAGAACCCUGCCUGAACAGUGAGUCUGAGUGAGUGAUUGAAUCAUUAAAACUUUUAGCAAUGGAUCU